rnacentral:rRNA from 1 species
AGCAGCCGCGGUAAUUCCAGCUCCAAUAGCGUAUAUUAAAGUUGUUGCAGUUAAAAAACUCGUAGUUGAAUUUCGGGAUUGGCGCAUCGGUCGUGCCUCACGGGGUAUGAACUGGUGCAGUCAAUUUCUCACCUUCUGGAGAACCGCGAUGUCCUUAAUUGGAUGCCGCGGGGAACCAGGACCUUUACUUUGAAAAAAUUAGAGUGUUUAAAGCAGGCAUUUUUGCUUGAAUACAUUAGCAUGGAAUAAUAAAAUAGGACGGCAUGGUUCUAUUUUGUUGGUUUCUAGGACCACCGUAAUGAUUAAUAGGGAUAGUUGGGGGCAUUAGUAUUCAAUUGUCAGAGGUGAAAUUCUUGGAUUUAUUGAAGACUAACUACUGCGAAAGCAUUUGCCAAGGAUGUUUUCAUUAAUCAAGAACGAAAGUUAGGGGAUCGAAGACGAUCAGAUACCGUCGUAGUCUUAACCAUAAACUAUGCCGACUAGGAAUCAGACGAUGUUAAUUUUUUAAUGACUC